rnacentral:rRNA from 1 species
AGUGAACGCUGGCGGUAUGCCUAAUACAUGCAAGUCGAACGGCAAGACAAUAAGAUCUUUCUCUUACGGUUGGCGGGUGGCGGGUGAGUGAGAAAUGGAUCAGCAUCUACUUAUUCUGGGAUGAUUUCGGAAAAAAACAUACGCUAAUAGCUCAUAUGACCUACGGGAUAAGUCAAUAGAGAUUGACAGCUUUCCCGUUUCAAUUAGCCGAUGUCGGAUUAGCUAGUUGGCUGGGUAAAGGCCCACCAAGGCGACGAUCCGUAGCUGGUCUGAGAGGAUGAUCAGCCACACUGGAACUGAGACACGGUCCAGACUCCUACGGGAGGCAGCAGUGGGGAAUAUUGGGCAAUGGGCGAAAGCCUGAUGCAGCAAUACCGCGUGGGUGAAGAAGGCCUUCGGGUUGUAAAGCUCUUUUGUUAGGAAAGAAAAGCAGCAGGUUAAUCUACGGCUGUUCUGACGGUACCUAAAGAAUAAGCAACGGCUAACUUCGUG